UACGAAGGGGGCUAGCGUUGCUCGGAAUCACUGGGCGUAAAGGGUGCGUAGGCGGGUCUUUAAGUCAGAGGUGAAAUCCUGGAGCUCAACUCCAGAACUGCCUUUGAUACUGAGGAUCUUGAGUUCGGGAGAGGUGAGUGGAACUGCGAGUGUAGAGGUGAAAUUCGUAGAUAUUCGCAAGAACACCAGUGGCGAAGGCGGCUCACUGGCCCGAUACUGACGCUGAGGCACGAAAGCCAGGGGAGCAAACGGG
rnacentral:rRNA from 1 species